AGAGUUUGAUCCUGGCUCAGGAUGAACGCUAGCGGCAGGCUUAACACAUGCAAGUCGAGGGGUAGGGUAGCAAUACCUGAGACCGGCGCACGGGUGCGUAACGCGUAUGCAAUCUACCUUGUACAGGGGGAUAGCCCAGAGAAAUUUGGAUUAAUACCCCAUAGUAUUUUCAAAUGGCAUCAUUUGAUUAUUAAAGUUCCAACGGUACAAGAUGAGCAUGCGUCCCAUUAGCUAGGUGGUGUGGUAACGGCAUACCAAGGCUACGAUGGGUAGGGGUCCUGAGAGGGAGAUCCCCCACACUGGUACUGAGACACGGACCAGACUCCUACGGGAGGCAGCAGUGAGGAAUAUUGGUCAGUGGGCGCAAGCCUGAACCAGCCAUGCCGCGUGCAGGAUGAAGCAUCUAUGGUGUGUAAACUGCUUUUGUACAGGAAGAAACACUCCCUCGUGAGGGAGCUUGACGGUACUUAAGAAUAAGAC
rnacentral:rRNA from 1 species